rnacentral:rRNA from 1 species
AGUGAACGCUGGCGGCAGGCCUAACACAUGCAAGUCGAACGGAUCCUUCGGGAUUAGUGGCGGACGGGUGAGUAACGCGUGGGAACAUACCCUUUGGUACGGAAUAGCCUCGGGAAACUGGGAGUAAUACCGUAUGUGGUCGAGAGACGAAAGAUUUAUCGCCAAAGGAUUGGCCCGCGUUGGAUUAGGUAGUUGGUGGGGUAAUGGCCUACCAAGCCGACGAUCCAUAGCUGGUUUGAGAGGAUGAUCAGCCACACUGGGACUGAGACACGGCCCAGACUCCUACGGGAGGCAGCAGUGGGGAAUCUUAGACAAUGGGGGAAACCCUGAUCUAGCCAUGCCGCGUGAUCGAUGAGGGCCUUAGGGUUGUAAAGAUCUUUCAGGUGGGAAGAUAAUGACUGUACCACCAGAAGAAGCCCCGGCUAACUCCGUGCCAGCCGCCGCAGUAA